AUGCUUCCUUGUUAGAAGACCAAGAAAAGGACAGGAGGAGGCACUGCUAUGAGGUUUUGGAAGAAAGGCGGACAAAAGCCAUUGAGGAAAGACGUCAGCGAAUGGCUACCCUUGUGGAACCCCUAGAUGGAGAGGUUUUGAAAUUCAAAUAUCCAAAUGGAUAUGUAAACAAGAGGAAAUUCAUCAUGUCUGAGCCAAUUCAGGUCCUGUUUGAUUUUAUUGGACAAGA